rnacentral:rRNA from 1 species
UUUUACCCGGGAUGAUAAUGACGGUACCGGNAGAAUAAGCUCCGGCUAACUCCGUGCCAGCAGCCGCGGUAAUACGGAGGGAGCUAGCGUUGUUCGGAAUUACUGGGCGUAAAGCGCNCGUAGGCGGUUUUGUAAGUCAGAGGUGAAAUUCCCGGGGCUCAACUCCGGAACUGCCUUUGAGACUGCNUCGCUNGANUCCNGGAGAGGUGAGUGGAAUUCCGNGUGUAGCGGUGAAAUUCGUAGAUAUNCGGAGGAACACCNGUGGCGAAGGCGGCUCCCCUGGACGGGUACUGACGCUGAGGCGCGAAAGCUG